rnacentral:lncRNA from 1 species
GAAGGUCAAAGGGGAAGUUAAGAAAAGCUGUAUCGAUUGUUGAGAUCUGGCGACUUGCUUAAAUUUCAUCAGCCUCACUUCUAUGGACUCUCAGAGCUGAUUACCAACUCCUACCACUGUUAACCCUCAUCCAGGAACAAGCUUAUGUCUUUAACAUUCUGAGUGGGCUUCAGCAUCCUUGCAUAUGUUCAAUUCUUAAAAACCUGUUGAAAUAAAAGAUCAGGAGACAUAGGAGGGAUGCCAGAAGACAGCGUGGCCUCACGUGUACCAGCUCUCUGCUCUCCUUUGCCUUGGGACGUUCCAUCCCUGGAAGUUUCCCUGCCCACAUCUUUGUAGAGAGUCCAUUCUCCAAGCUUCAGUGUGUCAUCUGUUAGGACUAUGACCCACCUGGUACAUUACCUCAGGGCAUUCAUUUCAGGCUCCUUCUAAGUGGUCAAGUUUUCAAGAUUGUUUUGGCUCUAGCAAAACAAGUUGGAACAUUCACAUCAUCCAAUCUUGCUUUCUUUUGUAUGUUUGCAAAGAAUAAAUAGUACACUUCCUUGAUCCGUGGUUCCUAAAGUGUGAUUCCCAACAAGCAGCAUCAGGAUCACCUGGAAACUUGAUAGAAAUAUAAAUUCUACAGUCCCUCCUUGGAGCUACAGAUUCAGAAAUUCUGAAGUUUAAUUCCAGCAAUUGGUUAUAAUAAGCUCUCUAGGUGAUUCUGACUCACACCAAGGCACCCUUGGAAAUGCAAUGCUAUAUCUCAAUGGGAUUUUCCAGUACAGAGAUUCUUUUCAAUAACAUAAUUGUGGAUACACACCACUCCUGUAGUGGUAAACCUCAGGUUCUCCUCCUGCCUUUUGCUAAGUAUAUGUCUUGAUGACAAGCCUUCUGCUAAUGAGCUGUGUUUCUGGACCGAUCAUGGUAGAAGUCAAUUGAAGUGUCCCUCACUUGGGGUUUCUUAAGGCUGCACUGAUGAGGAAACUGAAACAGAAAAUCCAGAGUAAAUUCCACCAGGCCACACAGCAAGGUCUGAUAGAGCCAGGAGAGACUUUAUGAAAUCCAGACUCUCACACUAAUGCUCUAUCAGCUAGACCUCCAUGUGAGUCUCCCCAAUGUAGGUAGGAAGCACUUUCCC